GUACUUGUUUUGGAAGCACGUAUACUAAAAUUGGAACAAUACAGAGAAGACUAGUGUGGCACCUGCACAAGGAUGACACACAGGUUUGUGAAGUGUUCCAUAUUUUU
rnacentral:snRNA from 1 species